rnacentral:lncRNA from 1 species
CACCAUAGAGAAAAUAGUGUUUCAGUGAAUGAAAUUGCUGAAAUGAUGGACAUCAGUAGGAGAACAGUUAUUAGGAUAUGCAAAUAUCCAGCAGAAAGAGGCACGUUGUCGCCACUUAAAUUAACAGGCAGACCCAGAGUUAUGGCGGAAGAUGACGUCCAACGUUUAGUAGAAGCCAGCCAGGAAAAUCCAUUUAAGACUGCCCCAUCAUUGAAAGCAGAAUUGGAUGUGACGUGUUUGCUGACCACAGUUAAAAGGAGGUAACGUAACUCAUACCUCACCUAAAUUAUUUAGUGUAAACUAUACAGUUAUUGGCCAUUUGAUGAAUGAGCUGCUAAAAUAAGAAUAAAAGAAUAAAUA